rnacentral:rRNA from 1 species
AUUGAACGCUGGCGGCAGGCUUAACACAUGCAAGUCGAGCGGAGAUGAGGUGCUUGCACCUUAUCUUAGCGGCGGACGGGUGAGUAAUGCUUAGGAAUCUGCCUAUUAGUGGGGGACAACAUUCUGAAAGGAAUGCUAAUACCGCAUACGUCCUACGGGAGAAAGCAGGGGAUCUUCGGACCUUGGGCUAAUAGAUGAGCCUAAGUCGGAUUAGCUAGGUGGUGGGGUAAAGGCCUACCAAGGCGACGAACUGUAGCGGGUCUGAGAGGAUGAUCCGCCACACUGGGACUGAGACACGGCCCAGACUCCUACGGGAGGCAGCAGUGGGGAAUAUUGGACAAUGGGGGGAACCCUGAUCCAGCCAUGCCGCGUGUGUGAAGAAGGCCUUAUGGUUGUAAAGCACUUUAAGCGAGGAGGAGGCUACUGAGACUAAUACUCUUGGAUAGUGGACGUUACUCGCAGAAUAAGCACCGGCUAACUCUGUGCCAGCCGCCGCGGUAA